UAACUGUCUGCUUUCUCUACAUAGCAGUGUGUGUGUGUGUGUGUGUGUGUGUGAGAGAGAGAGAGAGAGAGAGAGAGAGAGAGAGAGAUGUAUUCCUUAUAGAAAGGAAUACUGGGGGUGGGGUGGGAUCUUUGUAGAAUAUGAAAUCUAAGCAGCAUGAUUCUAAGAAAUAUAAGCAGACCUUAUCCCUUGCCUCCUGAGGAUAUUCCAGUCAGGACCGGCCCUACCAGAAGGCAGAUCAAGGCAACUGACUCAGCCCGUGUAUUUGCAGCUGUUGUGAAAAGAGAACAAUGAGAAAAUAAAUAAUGAACACAUUCCUGCUUGUGUGUAGGUUCUGACCUGGAAAAUCUGAGCUCUCCCCUGUGUGGUGAGCCCACCCACUCUUCCCCUCUUCUGGCUCCUUCUAGCUCAACUGAGCAAAGUGGCGACAGAGAUGGCAGGAUUAGGCCCUCUCCCUUACGGGGUGUUGAUGAAUCCAUAGGCUGUAAUAGCAGGCUAGGGUUUUUGUGACGUCGUCAGCAAAGCUGGCCUGUCAGAGGAGAGAGAAAAAGAGAUCCUGCUGCUGUACAGUAGCUGAAAUGUGGCUCAUCUGGUGGGUAACGUUCUGCCUGUUCGAAAUAAGUAAGUCUUUGGUUCAUCUCUCUAGACUCUGAGGACUGUUUAAAUGUUCUGGUUGAAGAAAUGAUGUUAAAAGCCUCCCCGCUGCCCACACUCACAGGGCGUAUUUUCUUCUAGGAUGCUCCACUGCAAACAUCAGCCAGCAAGAGAAUCUGGUGCUGGAGGAAGGCAAAAAUGCCUCGUUGGCCUGUACACAAUCCUUUGGGCACUACGGCAUGUUUUGGUACCGGCAGGACAAGAACAAGAGGCUUCAGCUCCUCUUUAAUUUCUACCACAAAAAUCUACAAGAGAAGGGUGAAAUAUCUGAACGUUUCAAAGCUGAUCAACCUCAGACAGACCGCUCUAACCUGAAUAUUACAUCGUUUCAGGCUUCUGAUGUCAUAAGGAAGGUGAUUGAGGAAGAAAGUUGAAGCCAUGAAUGCUCCCAGUAGAAAAUAAUCCGUGUCUUUAAGGCGCCACAUUAAUUUUAUUUUGUUUUUGUGGGGUUGUACAUAGAGACAGACCCAGGGGAGGAAGUGUAUGCUUCAACCACAAAAAACUACAUCAGAAACCUAUAUACCAGGGGAGGAAGUGUAGGUUGCAACCACAAAAAAAACUACACCAGAAACCUAUAUACUACUCUAAGGAGGAGAAAUGUGGAUCAUCUGGUUAUGUGGUCAUCUGACUUUUGGAAGUAGAUAAGUUCUUGGCCCAAUCUCCUCUGAUAGGCCAGAGAGGCAGCUUUAGGCUGAAAAUCCUAUAAAACUUUCCUGGGAAAGGGGAAGUCAUGGAAAUGGGGAUUU
rnacentral:lncRNA from 1 species